AACAGUUUUGGGUUUUUUUGUUUGUUUUUGUUUGAAAUUACAUCCCACCUACAAAAAAUGCUGAUACAAGUUUUUCAGCAUAGAAUGCUACCCUGAGUGGAAAGGAUAUUUCAGAUACUAACAGUAAACUUUUAUGCUCACGUUAUACAUUAAUAGUUCAUUUAAAAACUGGUCAAAGUUUUUUGAAGAACAGAGAGACCCCUGCGUGGGUACCUAUGAAGGGAGAGUUUGCUCAGCCAAGCACAGGUUAUUAUCUAGGCCUCAGCCUCCUCUCAAAUGAGGUAUUGGAAAUCCUGCUUUAUAAACUACAUUAGAUACUGCGGGAAAAAGUUCAAGUGUCCAAUGUUAUAAAAUUUUGUUAACAACAGAAAAGAAUCAAAAAGGCUUUUGUUUUUAAAUUAUAUUUUUAAUUUUUCAGGGAGAAGGGAUGAAAUAUUUUGAUCAAUGACUACUAGACUUUCUCUCCAACAUUUUCAUGUUAAGAAUUGAGGAGCUCUUGAAAUAUUGAGAUAACAAGUAUAAAUGAUUUCAGACAGAGUAAUUAAUACCAAAAACGGAGUAAAUAAAACCCUUCAGUUACUGGGCCAGAGCAUGAGCAAGUUGAAGUAGGAAUUUCCAGCUGGAAUUUACCUCAGUAACUCUCGGAAGAGAUCCUUAGAUCAUCCAUCACAGUGGCUCUAUAACAGUUGUAAUUCCAAUCAAAUACAUCAUCCAGGGCAUUCUGGAACUGCCAGAUGGAUGAACCAGAUGAAAUCUCUUUUAACAAUUAGGGCAAACUACAUAAUAAGUGUUAACUCAAUGAAGGCGCUUUCAGAAAAACACAGAGGAAUUCUGGUACCAUGACUACUUCUUACAGUAAAGCAGUCUUUAUCUCACCCUUCCCACACCCCCACAGAACUACGGAACUGUAUGUAAACAUUCACUGAUACUGGAGUUGCAAUAUGCACUUUGCAUAAAAUUGAAACAGUCUGGGACUUUUACUUAAUUCUAAAUGGAAUUUAACUACACCCGUGUUCAUUAUAAUGAACCCAUGCUGCUGGACUGUAAAAGCUGAUUUUUAUUAGUGACUGAAAAAGCCAAAUACCUGUAUUCUUGUCCAUUUGUUGCAUUAUAGAAUAUUGUGCAUAUGAAUUUUUCA